rnacentral:rRNA from 1 species
UGGGGAAUAUUGCACAAUGGGGGAAACCCUGAUGCAGCGACGCCGCGUGAACGAAGAAGGUAUUCGUAUCGUAAAGUUCUGUCCUAUGGGAAGAUAAUGACAGUACCAUAGAAGAAAGCUCCGGCUAAAUACGUGCCAGCAGCCGCGGUAAUACGUAUGGAGCGAGCGUUGUCCGGAAUUAUUGGGCGUAAAGGGUACGCAGGCGGUUUAAUAAGUCGAAUGUUAAAGAUCGGGGCUCAACCCCGUAAAGCAUUGGAAACUGAUAAACUUGAGUAGUGGAGAGGAAAGGGGAAUUCCUAGUGUAGGAGUGAAAGACGUAGAUAUUAGGAGGAAUACCAGUAGCGAAGGCGACUUUCUGGACACAAACUGACGCUGAGGUACGAAAGCGGGGGGAGCAAACAGG